UUUCCGUAGGUGAACCUGCGGAAGGAUCAUUACAGUGUUCUCUGCCCUCACGGGUAGAAACGCCCACCCUUGUAUAUUAUAUCUUUGUUGCUUUGGCAGGCCGCCCUCGGGCACCGGCUCCGGCUGGAUCGCGCCUGCCAGAGGAAACCCAAACUCUGAAUGUUAGUGUCAUCUGAGUACUAUCUAAUAGUUAAAACUUUCAACAACGGAUCUCUUGGUUCUG
rnacentral:misc_RNA from 1 species